rnacentral:misc_RNA from 1 species
GAUGAAGAACGUAGCGAAAUGCGAUAAGUAAUGUGAAUUGCAGAAUUCGGUGAAUCAUCGAAUCUUUGAACGCACCUUGCACCCUUUGGCAUUCCGAAGGGUAUGCUCGUUUGAGUGUCAUUGUACUCUCACACUUCCAAUCUUUGGAUUGGGGGCGGUGGACUUGGGUGUUGCUGCUUACUGUGGCUCACCUCAAAUUGAUUCGUGCACCUCUUGGUUGGACAUAGUACGGCGUGAUAAGUGUCUUCGCCGGCACCUCAGUAGAGGGUGGCUGAUCGGGAGCUCUGUGCUUCAAACCGUCCUCGGACAACAACUGACAACUUGACCUCAAAUCGAGUAGGACUACCCACUGAACUUAAGCAUAUCAAUAAGCGGAGGA